GACUGUAGUCUGCAACCCGACUACACGAAGCCGGAAUCGCUAGUAAUCGCGAAUCAGAAUGUCGCGGUGAAUACGUUCCCGGGUCUUGUACACACCGCCCGUCACACCAUGGGAGUCGGAAAUGCCCGAAGUCAGUGGCCCAACCUUAAAGGAGGGAGCUGCCGAAGGUGGAGCUGGUAACUGGGGUGAAGUCGUAACAAGGUACC
rnacentral:rRNA from 1 species